UACGGGGGGAGCAAGCGUUGUUCGGAUUUACUGGGCGUAAAGGGCGCGUAGGCGGCGUGACAAGUCACUUGUGAAAUCUCCGGGCUUAACUCGGAACGGUCAAGUGAUACUGUCGUGCUAGAGUACAGAAGGGGCAACUGGAAUUCUCGGUGUAGCGGUGAAAUGCGCAGAUAUCAGGAGGAACACCGGUGGCGAAGGCGGGUCUCUGGGCCGAAACUGACGCUGAGGAGCGAAAGCGUGGGGAGCAAACAGG
rnacentral:rRNA from 1 species